AUGGGUGAGGCGGCGCUCAGCUUUGACGUGGAGGCCGGCGAGCUCGCGGUGGCAGCGAGGAAGGGCCGCCGGUGGGUGGAAUGCAUGGUGUGCAGCGUCGGCCUCCUCACCGCCUGCAUGUCGGCCGCCUCCGCCAUAUACAAGGCCCCGGCCGGCAUCUUCGUCGGCCACAGGUGCGCCUACUACGUGUCCGUGGUCGCCGCCGGCAUUUUCGGCCUGGCCGAGGCCUGCGCCGCGGUCGUCUGGUUAUCGGCCGGCGCAGAUGGACCGGGGCAGGGGCAGCAGCAGCGCCUCACACGCCGCUGCGUCCUGUGCGCUUCGCUCCUGCCGCUGGCGUUCAUGGCGGGCAUCGGUGGAGUCCGCAUACUCGUCAAGUAG
rnacentral:rRNA from 1 species